UGAGAGCGGCGGACGGGUGAGUAAUGCCUAGGAAUCUGCCUGGUAGUGGGGGAUAACGUUCGGAAACGGACGCUAAUACCGCAUACGUCCUACGGGAGAAAGCAGGGGACCUUCGGGCCUUGCGCUAUCAGAUGAGCCUAGGUCGGAUUAGCUAGUUGGUGAGGUAAUGGCUCACCAAGGCGACGAUCCGUAACUGGUCUGAGAGGAUGAUCAGUCACACUGGAACUGAGACACGGUCCAGACUCCUACGGGAGGCAGCAGUGGGGAAUAUUGGACAAUGGGCGAAAGCCUGAUCCAGCCAUGCCGCGUGUGUGAAGAAGGUCUUCGGAUUGUAAAGCACUUUAAGUUGGGAGGAAGGGUUGUAGAUUAAUACUCUGCAAUUUUGACGUUACCGACAGAAUAAGCACCGGCUAACUCUGUGCCAGCAGCCGCGGUAAUACAGAGGGUGCAAGCGUUAAUCGGAAUUACUGGGCGUAAAGCGCGCGUAGGUGGUUUGUUAAGUUGGAUGUGAAAUCCCCGGGCUCAACCUGGGAACUGCAUUCAAAACUGACUGACUAGAGUAUGGUAGAGGGUGGUGGAAAUUUCCUGUGUAGCGGUGAAAUGCGUAGAUAUAGGAAGGGAACACCAGUGGCGAAGGGCGACCACCUGGA
rnacentral:rRNA from 1 species